rnacentral:rRNA from 1 species
GACGAACCGUGCGAACGUUGUUCGGAAUCACUGGGCUUAAAGGGCGCGUAGGCGGGCUCCCAAGUCAGGGGUGAAAACUUUCGGCUCAACCGGAAAAGUGCUUCUGAUACUGGGAGUCUCGAGGGAGGUAGGGGUCGGUGGAACUGGUGGUGGAGCGGUGAAAUGCGUAGAUAUCGGGAGGAACACCUGUGGCGAAGGCGGCCCCCUGGUUGGAUACUGACGCUGAUACGCGAAAGCGUGGGGAGCAAACAGG